UACCAGCUCUCCGAGUGGUGGGGACGCUUAUUGGGCCUAAAGCAUCCGUAGCCGGCUGAGCAAGUCCUCCGUUAAAUCCAACGAUUCAAUCGUUGGCCUGCAGGGGAUACUGUCUGGCUAGGAGGCGGUAGAGGCCGACGGUAUUUCCGGGGUAGGGGUGAAAUCCUAUAAUCCCGGGAGGACCAUCAGUGGCGAAGGCUGUCGGCUGGAACGCGCUCGACGGUGAGGGAUGAAAGCUGGGGGAGCGAACCGGAUUAGAUACCCGGGUAGUCCCAGCUGUAAACUUUGCAGGCUGGGUGUUGGUGCGGCUACGUGCCGCUCCGGUGCCGUAGGGAAACCGUUAAGCCUGCCGCCUGGGAAGUACGGUCGCAAGGCUGAAACUUAAAGGAAUUGGCGGGGGAGCACCACAAGGGGUGAAGCUUGCGGUUU
rnacentral:rRNA from 1 species